rnacentral:rRNA from 1 species
GACGAACGCUGGCGGCGUGCUUAACACAUGCAAGUCGAACGGGAAGGCCCCUUCGGGGGUACUCGAGUGGCGAACGGGUGAGUAACACGUGAGUAACCUGCCCUUGACUUCGGGAUAACUUCAGGAAACUGGGGCUAAUACCGGAUAGGAAUCCUUGCUGCAUGGUGGGGGUUGGAAAGCUUCGGCGGUUUUGGAUGGACUCGCGGCUUAUCAGCUUGUUGGUGGGGUAGUGGCUUACCAAGGCUUUGACGGGUAGCCGGCCUGAGAGGGCGACCGGCCACAUUGGGACUGAGAUACGGCCCAGACUCCUACGGGAGGCAGCAGUGGGGAAUAUUGCACAAUGGGCGGAAGCCUGAUGCAGCAACGCCGCGUGCGGGAUGACGGCCUUCGGGUUGUAAACCGCUUUCAGCAGGGGCGAAGCUUGUGGUGACGGUACCUGCAGAAGAAGCACCGGCUAACUACGUG